AAAUUGUGAUGUUGGUAUUUCCUUAACAAGUCUUGAAUCUCUCCCAUGCCUCAAACAAUGAUUUUGAAUCCAGCUAUGUAAAAGAGGUAAUCUCUUGAUGAAACUU